rnacentral:rRNA from 1 species
GAUGAACGCUGGCGGCGUGCCUAAUACAUGCAAGUCGAGCGAACAGACGAGGAGCUUGCUCCUCUGACGUUAGCGGCGGACGGGUGAGUAACACGUGGAUAACCUACCUAUAAGACUGGGAUAACUUCGGGAAACCGGAGCUAAUACCGGAUAAUAUAUUGAACCGCAUGGUUCAAUAGUGAAAGACGGUUUUGCUGUCACUUAUAGAUGGAUCCGCGCCGCAUUAGCUAGUUGGUAAGGUAACGGCUUACCAAGGCGACGAUGCGUAGGCGACCUGAGAGAGUGAUCGGCCACCCGGGAACGGAGACACGGUCCAGACUCCUACGGGACGCAGCAGUAGGGAAUCGUCCGCAAUGGGCGAAAGCCUGACGGAGCAACGCCGCGUGAGUGAUGAAGGUCUUCGGAUCGUAAAACUCUGUUAUUAGGGAAGAACAAAUGUGUAAGUAACUAUGCACGUCUUGACGGUACCUAAUCAGAAAGCCACGGCUAACUACGUG